rnacentral:rRNA from 1 species
UGGGGAAUAUUGCACAAUGGGCGAAAGCCUGAUGCAGCAACGCCGCGUGCGGGAUGACGGCCUUCGGGUUGUAAACCGCUUUCAGCAGGGACGAAGGUUUUCUGACGGUACCUGCAGAAGAAGCACCGGCUAACUACGUGCCAGCAGCCGCGGUGAUACGUAGGGUGCGAGCGUUGUCCGGAAUUAUUGGGCGUAAAGAGCUUGUAGGCGGUCCGUUGCGUCGGAAGUGAAAACUCAGGGGCUUAACCCUGAGCCUGCUUUCGAUACGGGCGGACUUGAGGGAUGUAGGGGAGAACGGAAUUCCUGGUGGAGCGGUGGAAUGCGCAGAUAUCAGGAGGAACACCAGUGGCGAAGGCGGUUCUCUGGACAUUUCCUGACGCUGAGAAGCGAAAGCGUGGGGNGCAAACAGGCUUANAUACCCUGGUAGUCCACG